CUUAAAUUUACGUUGAAUAAUGACAUACAUAGAAGCUCAAAAUCCCAUCGACAUGCCUUUCCUCUGAAAAUCUCCCAUUUUGAAACUGCCGCUGAAAACGGGCAAAUCCCAACAAAGCUAAAAUAUGACGUCAGGAUCUCAAAACCUGUAGCUUUGUCACGCCCAUGGCUGUAUCAGGAGAACGGUCACGCCCCAACAUUUACAUACAGGCCACUGACCUGA